rnacentral:tRNA from 1 species
GUUUUAAUAGUUUAAUUUAAAACACUGGUCUUGUAAAUCAGAAAUAAGAAACAAUCUUUUAAAACU